rnacentral:rRNA from 1 species
CGGAUCGGAGUCUGCAACCCGACUCCGUGAAGCUGGAUUCGCUAGUAAUCGCGCAUCAGCCAUGGCGCGGUGAAUACGUUCCCGGGCCUUGUACACACCGCCCGUCAAGCCAUGGAAGCCGGGAGUGCCUGAAGUAUGCAACCGCAAGGAGCGUCCUAAGGUAAAACCGGUGACUGGGGCUAAGUCGUAACAAGGUAUC